UCGAUUAGAGUUUGAUCCUGGCUCAGAACGAACGUUGGCGGCGUGGAUUAGGCAUGCAAGUCGAGGGAAUCUCCCGCAAGGGAGGGAACCGGCGUAAGGGGCAGUAAGGCAUGGGUAACCUACCCCGAGGUCCGGGAUAGCCAUCAGAAAUGGUGGGUAAUACCGGAUGAACUCGUGAGAGCAAAGGUCCGCCGCCUCGGGGGGGGCCCAUGUGGUAUUAGCUAGUUGGUAGGGUAAUGGCCUACCAAGGCGAAGAUGCCUAGCGGGUGUGAGAGCACGACCCGCGCCACUGGCACUGAGACACUGGCCAGACACCUACGGGUGGCUGCAGUCGAGGAUCUUCGGCAAUGGGCGCAAGCCUGACCGAGCGACGCCGCGUGCGCGAUGAAGCCUUCGGGUUGUAAAGCGCUUGUCGAGGGGAGGAAAAGCCCCACAAGGGCUUGAUCGGCCCCUGGAGGAAGCACGGGCUAAGUUCGUGCCAGCAGCCGCGGUAAGACGAACCGUGCGUACGUUGUUCGGAAUCACUGGGCUUAAAGGGUGCGUAGGCGGGUUGUCCAGUCUGGGGUGAAAUCCCACGGCUCAACCGUGGAACUGCCUCAGAUACUGACGACCUCUAGGGAGGUAGGGGCGAGCGGAACUGUGGGUGGAGCGGUGAAAUGCGUUGAUAUCCACAGGAACUCCGGUGGCGAAGGCGGCUCGCUGGACCUCUACUGACGCUGAGGCACGAAAGCUAGGGGAGCAAACGGGAUUAGAUACCCCGGUAGUCCUAGCCCUAAACGAUGGGUACUAGGUAGUAGGCUAGACAUGGGCUUACUGCCGUAGCAAAAGUGCUAAGUACCCCGCCUGGGGAGUAUGGCCGCAAGGCUGAAACUCAAAGGAAUUGACGGGGGCUCACACAAGCGGUGGAGCAUGUGGCUUAAUUCGAGGCUACGCGAAGAACCUUAUCCUGGGCUUGACAUGUGCGAAAGCGCCGGGAAGUAGGACCCGGAUACGGGAACGAACGGUACCCAGCCCGGAACCCGGCACAGGUGCUGCAUGGCUGUCGUCAGCUCGUGUCGUGAGAUGUCGGGUUAAGUCCCAUAACGAGCGAAACCCUUACCUUCAGUUGCUACCCGCAAGGGGCACUCUGGAGGGACUGCCGGUGUCUAACCGGAGGAAGGUGGGGAUGACGUCAAGUCAUCAUGGCCUUUAUGCCCAGGGCUGCACACGUGCUACAAUGGCGUGUACAAAGCGAAGCAACCACGCGAGUGGAAGCCAAUCGCAAAAAACACGCCCCAGUUCAGAUCGGAGGCUGCAACUCGCCUCCGUGAAGGCGGAAUCGCUAGUAAUCGCGGGUCAGCAACACCGCGGUGAAUGUGUUCCUGAGCCUUGUACACACCGCCCGUCAAGCCACGAAAGGGAGGGGCGCCCGAAGUCACCUUCACCGGUGCCGAAGGCGAAACUCCUGAUUGGGACUGAGUCGUAACAAGGUAACCGUAGGGGAACCUGCGGCUGGAUCACCUCCUUAAUCGA
rnacentral:rRNA from 1 species